AGCUUUGCACUGUGGCAGUAUUAUAGCCAACCAGGUUUAACCAAGGUGCUAUUAUUACUAAUUGAAAAUCUAAGCAGAGGUUAUUGCCACAGAAGUGGGAAUAGAUUUAUAAUAUAUAUACAUAUAU
rnacentral:snRNA from 1 species